rnacentral:rRNA from 1 species
UGGGGAAUAUUGCACAAUGGGCGCAAGCCUGAUGCAGCCAUGCCGCGUGUAUGAAGAAGGCCUUCGGGUUGUAAAGUACUUUCAGCGGGGAGGAAGGCGAUAAGGUUAAUAACCUUGUCGAUUGACGUUACCCGCAGAAGAAGCACCGGCUAACUCCGUGCCAGCGGCCGCGGUAAUACGGAGGGUGCAAGCGUUAAUCGGAAUUACUGGGCGUAAAGCGCACGCAGGCGGUCUGUCAAGUCGGAUGUGAAAUCCCCGGGCUCAACCUGGGAACUGCAUUCGAAACUGGCAGGCUAGAGUCUUGUAGAGGGGGGUAGAAUUCCAGGUGUAGCGGUGAAAUGCGUAGAGAUCUGGAGGAAUACCGGUGGCGAAGGCGGCCCCCUGGACAAAGACUGACGCUCAGGUGCGAAAGCGUGGGGAGCAAACA